AUGACGAACCUCGAGUGGGCUAAACCUUGCUCGGGCUUCGUAUACUGGAUAGUUCGGUCUAGGAAAGAGGAAGAUCUUUUGACAAAAGCUCAGCAAUUGCACUGUUAAUGUACAAAUUCAAUAAUUUUUGCAUCUCAGCAACCAGAAAUAUAUAAGUUUUAAAUCAAGAUCUUGCAAAACCAAAACUAAAAAAAACCAACUUGGUCGGAUUUUGGUUGCAAAUGGUUUGGUUGGCAACAGUGGCGAAGCUUGAAAUUUUUUACGGGGUGUCGAAAACGUAUAUACCCAAAAAAUUUCCAUAAAACCCGGGGGUCGAAAACAUAUAUACCCAAAAAUUUCUAUACGAAUAACAUUACUGGCCGAAAAGUUCGGAGGGUUGGGCGCCCCUCCCGGCCCCUUCAAAGCAUCGCCCCAGGUUGGCAAUGAAUUGGUCGGUCCUCCAGGUCACAUGGCAGCAACUUUACCGUUAAAAAAAAAAAAAAAAAAAAAUAGAGAGAUGAUAUUAUUAACCUUCUUGCAGGGUCAAUGCCAACACCAGCAGGAUAACAGUU
rnacentral:lncRNA from 1 species